rnacentral:rRNA from 1 species
AGUAACGGCGAAGUGAAGCGGCAAGAAGCUCAAAUUUGAAAUCUGGCCCCCUCGGGGUCCGAGUUUGUAAUUUGCAGAGGAUGCUUCGGGAGCGGUCCCCAUCUAAGUGCCCUGGAACGGGCCGUCAUAGAGGGUGAGAAUCCCGUCUGGGAUGGGCGGCCGCGCCCGUGUGAAGCUCCUUCGACGAGUCGAGUUGUUUGGGAAUGCAGCUCUAAGCGGGUGGUAAAUUUCAUCUAAAGCUAAAUACUGGCCGGAGACCGAUAGCGCACAAGUAGAGUGAUCGAAAGAUGAAAAGCACUUUGAAAAGAGAGUUAAACAGCACGUGAAAUUGUUGAAAGGGAAGCGUUGUCCACCAGACUCGCCCGGGGGGGUUCAGCCGGCACGUGUGCCGGUGUACUCCUCUCCGGGCGGGCCAGCAUCGGUUUGGGCGGCUGGUGAAAGGCCCCGGGAAUGUACCACCCUCCGGGGUGUCUUAUAGCCCGGGGUGCCAUACAGCCAGCCUGGACCGAGGCCCGCGCUUCGGCGAGGAUGCUGGCGUAAUGGUGGUCAACGGCCCGUCUUGA